AGAAAAAAAGUAGGUUUUAAGCUCUAAAAUAGAUCAGUAACACCUCACAAUCCCUUGGAGCUUGGCAGAGAAAACUACCUACCACCCAUGUAUAUAUAACAUUAAAUUAAACAUCAAAAUUUUUCUCUAGCUUCACCACAUUCUGGUUAAGUCUCUCUUUAAAUAACAAAGCCCUUAAAAGAUGUAAGCACUCAAUCCUCGAACUUCGGCUGUAUUCUCCUCUUCUGAUCUAUUCGUUCAAAAAACUAGGCGAGACAUCAAAUACUUGUCAUUCAUGAUGCAUUCAGGGAUGGAGCUGCCCACAACUUCACUUUCUUAUCGACACUGGCUGUGGCCAACACCAGAACUUUCUUGUCACCCAUUGGAAUUGGAGAAGGCGACCAUGCCAUGUCCGUGAUAUCACCAUCAUGUGCUUUUUCAGCUGUUUCCAGAACCUUCCCAGUCUCCAUACAUAGCCAUUGCAUCAUUGAACCAUGAGUGGUGGCCAAUAUCUUUCCAUCAGGU
rnacentral:misc_RNA from 1 species